rnacentral:rRNA from 1 species
GAUGAACGCUGGCGGCGUGCCUAAUACAUGCAAGUCGAGCGAACAGACGAGGAGCUUGCUCCUCUGACGUUAGCGGCGGACGGGUGAGUAACACGUGGAUAACCUACCUAUAAGACUGGGAUAACUUCGGGAAACCGGAGCUAAUACCGGAUAAUAUAUUGAACCGCAUGGUUCAAUAGUGAAAGACGGUUUUGCUGUCACUUAUAGAUGGAUCCGCGCCGCAUUAGCUAGUUGGUAAGGUAACGGCUUACCAAGGCAACGAUGCGUAGCCGACCUGAGAGGGUGAUAGGCCACACGGGAACUGAGACACGGUCCAGACUCCUACGGGAGGCAGCAGUGGGGAAUCUUCCGCAAUGGGCGAAAGCCUGACGGAGCAACGCCGCGUGAGUGAUGAAAGUCUUCGGAUCGUAAAACUCUGUUAUUAGGGAAGAACCAAUGUGUAAUUAACUAUGCACGUCUUGACGGUACCUAAUCAGAAAGCCACGGCUAACUACGUG